rnacentral:rRNA from 1 species
UACGGAGGGUGCGAGCGUUGUUCGGAAUCACUGGGCGUAAAGCGCGUGUAGGCGGUCUACUAAGUCUGAUGUGAAAGCCCGGGGCUCACCCUCGGAAGUGCAUUGGAAACUGGCAGACUGGAGUCCCGGAGAGGAGGGUGGAAUUCCUGGUGUAGCGGUGAAAUGCGUAGAUAUCAGGAGGAACACCGGUGGCGAAGGCGGCCCUCUGGACGGUGACUGACGCUGAGACGCGAAGGCGUGGGGAGCAAACAGG